rnacentral:rRNA from 1 species
GCUUACGGCCACACCAACCUGGCUAUGCCCGAUCUCGUCUGAUCUCGGAAGCUAAGCAGGUUUGGGCCUGGUUUAGUACUUGGAUGGGGAGACCGCCUGGGAAUACCAGGUGCUGUAAGCU